UUUAUUGAAAUGCCUAAAUUACCCUUCACUCCUUCGGUAGGAAAUCCAAGUUCAAAGUACUCCACUCACCACUCUUCAUGUUCUUCCCUCUCAGGCGACUCCAUAGCCUGCGUCACUGACCGGCGAUUCCACGGCCGACAGCCGGUGAUUUCAUUCUCGGUGAUCCAGUUAAACGUUUCAGUUUGCCAGUUACCCCAUUCAUUCGGACAGCGUUUCCUUUAUUCGGCUAGCGAUUCCAUUCUAUCGGGGCAUACGGAGUGGGGAGCGGCAAGCAGCGGCAAACAACUUUACCGUGCGGCAAACACCACCACCAACAUGCUUUGCCGCUUCCAAGUUUGCCAAAUCGGUGUUCGGUUACCGCGUCGGUGAAGGGAGUGUGUGUGUGGUGGGGUGGGGUCCAUUCCAAUCUCAACCAAUCACACCUUUUUCCUUUUUUUUCUAAAAAAUAGUUUACCACUUACCAAGUGUUUAAACCAUUGUCAACAUUUUUCACCAAAGUUUAAACACUUUUGCCUAAUUGACAUGGCGCGCUCUCAUUGGUCGGUUUUUUGGUUUGCCACUUUAAAGUGUUUAACCACUCCUUAUACCCUUAUUGUAUAAGACUUUGGCAAUAGUUUGUGGAAAAUGGAGUUUGUUUAA